GCGCAAUAGCAAUCAAAGACAAACCUAAACCGGUGGAAGGCAGAAAGAAGGCUAGAACUCACGACCUUCUGGGAAACGAAAGGAAGCAAUUUCGGAACAAGGGUACUUGAGUUGAUUCUAUUCCCGAUCAAGUAUCAAAUGAUGAGGCAGAAUCCACCAGACAGAAACCUCGGCCAAGAAAGAGAAGACACCAUAAGGUGCUAGAAACCCGAAGGAUAACGGGCAUCAUUGCCAAUGAACGACUCAACCCAAAAAUCUCGAACCAAGAGAAUGGUCAGAUGUUAUAUGGGUAUGGGUAUCUUUGGGGUACACAUGUGUCGCAAUGCACGUACAGGAUACUUAGCCACCAUGUCUGCCGGUAUUUUGAGAGCCCGUGAUGUAUAAAUCGAAGUGACCAUAUACCUCGCAAGAAAAUGAGAAACAGGAAGGUUCCUUGGCACGUGGGCGGGGUUUCUCACGCGCGAAGGAGACCACCCGCACUCCCCAUGCGAGUGCAAGUGCAUGCGAACCAGCACGGGCUGCGUGCUCAUGCGAGUAGCAACACCCAUGCACAUGGCCUACAGGCCCCGCAUGCGAAACUAGCCGCACAUAUGCAUGCCCAAUUAGCCAGACACACGCCCAGCACGCAAUUGGGCUAGGUGCAGGUCAAGCAGGCUUGCGUCCAACGCGCUGGCCCAACCCAUGGGCCUGCACCAUGCGAUUUACGUGUGGUUUUCUUGUCGACCCACGCUACGAGCAGCUAGAAUUCUCGACUUCCUUCUCCCCGUGCCAAUCCCCAUCAAGAACAACGUGAGGCACUUCGAAGUGCCAUUCACGCUUUGAUUCUUGAGCAAGUUUGGGAACAUUCUGAGAAGGAGAAAGGGUAACUAUCCGUUCAUGGUCGGUAGGAUAAAGACCCUUUGAAGGUGGGUGGCCCGCCCCUCUUAGAACAGUUAUGUUUUAUUGGACUUACAUACAUUCACUCACUUAUGUUGUACCCCUUUAGCUCACCCUAGCCCCAAGCGUUUUGCUCUUCUAACGUAAGC
rnacentral:lncRNA from 1 species